ensembl:lncRNA
GUUGAAACUUCAAGUUGUUGUAACUUCCCUAACGAAAUGCCCACUGGAAGAUGGAAAGGUUUGUUUUAGUUCUGGUUUCUCUUGCCAUAAAAGGAUCCGGAAUCAAGGGGGUUAAGGCUGGCCGUGGGUCCAGAGCAGCAAUUCCUUAUAUUGUAUCUAAAGUCUUUCAUGCUGCCUGGCCUUUCAUGUCUCUCCGAAGCAGCUUUAUCGAUGUAUGCUAAGUAAACAGAGCUUUGUUUUCGUCUUCCACCCACCGCCCUCCCUCCCGGCACAGACUGGAGUUGGAACCCUUCCAAAGCGGCUGCUGCAGCAGUUAGAGCCGCCUCCUCCACACACAGGAGCAGGGUUUCUAGGGUGAGGCAAUGCGUCUGCAAUUCGCAGAGACAAGGCAGGAAUUGUAAUUGCAGUUCAUCAUGUGAUGACUUAUGAAAGAGGAAGUUGGUAUGUUUUAGUCACGUAGACGCUGCCCUCUUGCUUAAAAGGCUCCAGAUCUUCUCAAAAGAGAACUCUGAUCAUCUCUGCCACUCCAAGUCAAGGUUACCAGGUUGGCUGUUCCUAUGUGGCCAGACAGGCUGAUGCCAGGUGAACUGUUGGUGGGGCAGUGGGUUGAAGCUGGCUUUUUAGCAGAAUGCUGAAAUGCUGCAAUUUGUAUUAAAAACUUAAGGAAUAUUCUAUGGGGAACACUCCUGCUGAGACAAGAUGGAGCAGCAGUCUUCCAGCUCUAAUUUCUAACAUUUAAAAAAAAAAAAAAAAAAGGAAAGAAAAUUGCAGUUUAGAAGCAAAAGGAUAGCCAUUCAGUAUGCUACUCUCCAAAACUGGCAUAAGGGAAGUGAUUGAAAGGUAAACCAAACAGAGCAGUUCUAAGCAGUAGCUCAGUUGGGUAGAACAAAUCCAGCCCCUGCACAGAUUUCCCCUGCAUGAGCAUUAAACAUCUAAAAUCUGAAUCUGAACCCUGGAGCUCACUCCAGUUGAGAUGCUCUUGAUAACACACCACAGCCCUGUACUGGCAGGUGACAGGGCAUUGUAAAGAAAUGAUUCUCCCCAGACGACCCUGAUGGAACUCUGCCUGGAGGACACACAGCUGUGGAAGAGCGAUGACCCCCUGUCCCCAGGAAUGGAAGCUGAAAACCUAAGAUCGUGAAAAAUUAAGUGAUUUUCUUGCAGUAACAUUAAAGAUGAGUGCCAGAACUGAAAUGCAGGUGUGAGUAUUUUUGUCUAACAAUAUAGUCUAGAAUGGGUGACUCAGACGGUAAAGAAUCUGCCUGCAAUGCAGGAGACCUGGGUUCAAUCCCUGGAUUGGGAAGAUGGCUACCCACUCCAGUAUUCUCGCCUGGAGAAUUCCAUGGACCGAGGAGCCUGGCAGGCUACAGUCCAUGGGGUCACAAAGAGUCAGGUACAACUGGAUGACUAAUACACACUCUCAUAGUCUAGAACAUACUAUAUACAUCUUGCAUUUAACAUAAAAUGUAUGCACAGUUUAGAGGCCUAGAAGAAGAAUGUUAACAUUUGUGAGUGUUCACAAAAAGAAUGUUAAGAUUUGCGUAUCUAUACCCGUAUUUAUAGGAAACAAGAUUCUAGUAUAGUUCAUAGGACAGGCGAUCCAAAGAAAAGUCAACAGUCACAACAGAUAGAGAGAUAGGGU